rnacentral:rRNA from 1 species
GGUCAAGAUGGUAAGGGCCCACGGUGGAUGCCUCGGCACCCGAGCCGAUGAAGGACGUGGCUACCUGCGAUAAGCCAGGGGGAGCCGGUAGCGGGCGUGGAUCCCUGGAUGUCCGAAUGGGGGAACCCGGCCGGCGGGAACGCCGGUCACCGCGCUUGCGCGGGGGGAACCUGGGGAACUGAAACAUCUCAGUACCCAGAGGAGAGGAAAGAGAAAUCGACUCCCUGAGUAGCGGCGAGCGAAAGGGGACCAGCCUAAACCGUCCGGCUUGUCCGGGCGGGGUCGGGGGCCCUCGGCCGAAUCCCCAGCCUAGCCGAAGCUGUUGGGAAGCAGCGCCAGAGAGGGUGAAAGCCCCGUAGGCGAAAGGUGGGGGGAUAGGUGAGGGUACCCGAGUACCCCGUGGUUCGUGGAGCCAUGGGGGAAUCUGGGCGGACCACCGCCUAAGGCUAAGUACUCCGGGUGACCGAUAGCGCACCAGUACCGUGAGGGAAAGGUGAAAAGAACCCCGGGAGGGGAGUGAAAUAGAGCCUGAAACCGUGGGCUUACAAGCAGUCACGGCCCCAAGGGGUUGUGGCGUGCCUAUUGAAGCAUGAGCCGGCGACUCACGGUCGUGGGCGAGCUUAAGCCGUUGAGGCGGAGGCGUAGGGAAACCGAGUCCGAACAGGGCGCGUCCGCGGCCGUGGACCCGAAACCGGGCGAGCUAGCCCUGGCCAGGGUGAAGCUGGGGUGAGACCCAGUGGAGGCCCGAACCGGUGGGGGAUGCAAACCCCUCGGAUGAGCUGGGGCUAGGAGUGAAAAGCUAACCGAGCCCGGAGAUAGCUGGUUCUCCCCGAAAUGACUUUAGGGUCAGCCUCAGGCGCUGACUGGGGCCUGUAGAGCACUGAUAGGGCUAGGGGGCCCACCAGCCUACCAAACCCUGUCAAACUCCGAAGGGUCCCAGGUGGAGCCUGGGAGUGAGGGCGCGAGCGAUAACGUCCGCGUCCGAGCGCGGGAACAACCGAGACCGCCAGCUAAGGCCCCCAAGUCUGGGCUAAGUGGUAAAGGAUGUGGCGCCGCGAAGACAGCCAGUCGAGUGGCGCCGCGCCGAAAAUGAUCGGGGCUUAAGCCCAGCGCCGAAGCUGCGGGUCUGGGGGAUGACCCCAGGCGGUAGGGGAGCGUUCCCGAUGCCGAUGAAGGCCGACCCGCGAGGGCGGCUGGAGGUAAGGGAAGUGCGAAUGCCGGCAUGAGUAACGAUAAAGAGGGUGAGAAUCCCUCUCGCCGUAAGCCCAAGGGUUCCUACGCAAUGGUCGUCAGCGUAGGGUUAGGCGGGACCUAAGGUGAAGCCGAAAGGCGUAGCCGAAGGGCAGCCGGUUAAUAUUCCGGCCCUUCCCGCAGGUGCGAUGGGGGGACGCUCUAGGCUAGGGGGACCGGAGCCAUGGACGAGCCCGGCCAGAAGCGCAGGGUGGGAGGUAGGCAAAUCCGCCUCCCAACAAGCUCUGCGUGGUGGGGAAGCCCGCAACCCCCCGAAGCCAGGGAGCCAAGAAAAGCCUCUAAGCACAACCUGCGGGAACCCGUACCGCAAACCGACACAGGUGGGCGGGUGCAAGAGCACUCAGGCGCGCGGGAGAACCCUCGCCAAGGAACUCUGCAAGUUGGCCCCGUAACUUCGGGAGAAGGGGUGCUCCCUGGGGUGAUGAGCCCCGGGGAGCCGCAGUGAACAGGCUCUGGCGACUGUUUACCAAAAACACAGCUCUCUGCGAACUCGUAAGAGGAGGUAUAGGGAGCGACGCUUGCCCGGUGCCGGAAGGUCAAGGGGAGGGGUGCAAGCCCCGAACCGAAGCCCCGGUGAACGGCGGCCGUAACUAUAACGGUCCUAAGGUAGCGAAAUUCCUUGUCGGGUAAGUUCCGACCUGCACGAAAAGCGUAACGACCGGAGCGCUGUCUCGGCGAGGGACCCGGUGAAAUUGAACUGGCCGUGAAGAUGCGGCCUACCCGUGGCAGGACGAAAAGACCCCGUGGAGCUUUACUGCAGCCUGGUGUUGGCUCUUGGUCGCGCCUGCGUAGGAUAGGUGGGAGCCUGUGAACCCCCGCCUCCGGGUGGGGGGGAGGCGCCGGUGAAAUACCACCCUGGCGCGGCUGGGGGCCUAACCCUCGGAUGGGGGGACAGCGCUUGGCGGGCAGUUUGACUGGGGCGGUCGCCUCCUAAAAGGUAACGGAGGCGCCCAAAGGUCCCCUCAGGCGGGACGGAAAUCCGCCGGAGAGCGCAAGGGUAGAAGGGGGCCUGACUGCGAGGCCUGCAAGCCGAGCAGGGGCGAAAGCCGGGCCUAGUGAACCGGUGGUCCCGUGUGGAAGGGCCAUCGAUCAACGGAUAAAAGUUACCCCGGGGAUAACAGGCUGAUCUCCCCCGAGCGUCCACAGCGGCGGGGAGGUUUGGCACCUCGAUGUCGGCUCGUCGCAUCCUGGGGCUGAAGAAGGUCCCAAGGGUUGGGCUGUUCGCCCAUUAAAGCGGCACGCGAGCUGGGUUCAGAACGUCGUGAGACAGUUCGGUCUCUAUCCGCCACGGGCGCAGGAGGCUUGAGGGGGGCUCUUCCUAGUACGAGAGGACCGGAAGGGACGCACCUCUGGUUUCCCAGCUGUCCCUCCAGGGGCAUAAGCUGGGUAGCCAUGUGCGGAAGGGAUAACCGCUGAAAGCAUCUAAGCGGGAAGCCCGCCCCAAGAUGAGGCCUCCCACGGCGUCAAGCCGGUAAGGACCCGGGAAGACCACCCGGUGGAUGGGCCGGGGGUGUAAGCGCCGCGAGGCGUUGAGCCGACCGGUCCCAAUCGUCCGAGGUCUUGACCCC